GCUUGUGUCGAAAGCGUCUCAUGGAUGUUGAGCUCUGCUUUAGUCCACACAGGGAAGGCAGUGUAAGGAGCGCUGAAGGAGCAUUUGGAGAGAUGGAGAGAUGAAUGUGUGUUCUCCAGCAGGAGAAUGUGGAGGCCGGGAAUGAUGGGAAUGAUGGGAGAUCAGGAGGAGUAAAGAUGUGAAAGACAAACUCGGGUGGAUCUGACCUGAUCCUGUGUCGCCCUGAAGAUUCACUGAUGUCACUUC